rnacentral:tRNA from 1 species
GCCCGGCUGGCUCAGUCAGUAGAGCAUGUGACUCUUGAUCUCAGGGUUGUGAAUUCAAGCUCCACAUUGGGUU